rnacentral:rRNA from 1 species
UCGGGAAUUUUGCGCAAUGGACGAAAGUCUGACGCAGCAACGCCGCGUGAGGGAUGAAGGCCUUCGGGUUGUAAACCUCUUUUAUCAGGGAAGAUGAUGACGGUACCUGAUGAAUAAGUCACGGCUAACUACGUGCCAGCAGCCGCGGUAAUACGUAGGUGACAAGCGUUGUCCGGAUUUACUGGGCGUAAAGAGCGCGCAGGCGGUCGUUCAAGUCGAGUGUGAAAGCCCCCGGCUCAACUGGGGAGGGUCAUUCGAUACUGAUCGACUCGAAGGCAGGAGAGGGUAGUGGAAUUCCCGGUGUAGUGGUGAAAUGCGUAGAUAUCGGGAGGAACACCAGUGGCGAAGGCGACUACCUGGCCUGUUCUUGACGCUGAGGCGCGAAAGCUAGGGGAGCAAACGGGAUUAGAUACCCCGGUAGUCCUAGCCGUAAACGAUGGACACUAGGUGUUGGUGGUAUCAACCCCGCCAGUGCCGAAGCUAACGCAUUAAGUGUCCCGCCUGGGGA